GGAUGUGAGGGUGAUCUUGGCUUGUGACAUCUGUCACUCCAUUGAUCGCCAGGGUUGAUUCAAGUGAUCUGGCUGGCUAGAUGUGUGUCCCCUUCCUCCCUCACUGUUCCAUGUGCGUCCCUCUAGAAGCUGCACUUCUGGUUGAAGAGGAUGACCUUCCCCAACGGAUGAGGACUGUUCUCUAGUCAAGAGUAUAUACACGCUGCUGCGCUCCCCUGCUAGAACCUCCAAACAAGCUCUCAAGGUCUAUUUGUAGGAGAACGUAGGGUAUUCAAGCUUCCAAGACUCUAGACACAUCCAAACGAGGUGCUGCAUGUGGCAGUCUGCCUUCU
rfam:Felis catus isolate Cinnamon breed Abyssinian chromosome E1, whole genome shotgun sequence.